GUAAGAGUGGUGUAGUGAUUUGAGCUCUAGACUACUACUCUAGAGACCAGAGUCCAAAUCCCUGCUUGGUCA